CCUACGGGUGGCUGCAGUGAGGACUAUUGGUCAAUGGGCGUAAGCCUGAACCAGCCAAGUCGCGUGAGGGAUGCAGGUUCUAUGGAUCGUAAACCUCUUUUAUAAGGGAAUAAAGUGCGGGACGUUUCCCGUUUUGUAUGUACCUUAUGCAUAAGGCUCGGCUAACUCCGUGCCAGCCGCCGCGGUAAUACGGAGGAUCCGAGCGUUAUCCGGAUUUAUUUGGUUUAACGGGUGCGUAGGCGGCCUUUAAGUCAGCGGUGAAAGUCUGUGGCUCAACCAGAGAAUUGCCGUUGAAACUGGGAGGAUUGAGUAUGUUUGAGGCAGGCGGAAUGCGUGGUGUAGCGGUGAAAUGCUUAGAUAUCACGCAGAACCACGAUUGCGAAGGCAGCCUGCCAAGCCAUGACUGACGCUGAUGCACGAAAGCGUGGGGAUCAAACAGGAUUAGAUACCCCUGUAGUC
rnacentral:rRNA from 1 species